UACGUAGGGCGCAAGCGUUGUCCGGAAUUACUGGGCGUAAAGGGCUCGUAGGUGGCCAACUAAGUCAGACGUGAAAUCCCUCGGCUUAACCGGGGAACUGCGUCUGAUACUGGAUGGCUUGAGUUUGGGAGAGGGAUGCGGAAUUCCAGGUGUAGCGGUGAAAUGCGUAGAUAUCUGGAGGAACACCGGUGGCGAAGGCGGCAUCCUGGACCAACACUGACACUGAGGAGCGAAAGCCAGGGGAGCAAACGGG
rnacentral:rRNA from 1 species